CGUUAUGGAAGGAAUAGGCGAAGUGGUUGAAAACGGCGUCGUAAUAAUGUAAAGACGCAUGAAAGUUCAUAGUUUUAGGUUUCAUUUUCAGUGAAGACGAGGAAGAGGAAGAAGAAGGAGGAGGAAGAAGCUUCACAUUAACACAUUCUCCAGAAGAAGAAGAAUGUGGACGCGGAUACUUGCACGAGUAACACGUGCCGUAGCUGGUGCUCGCAAUUGCUCAUCAAUUCACCAACGCAUCUCUAACCCUAGCUUUUCUAAAAUCCCCAAAUCAAGUUUCCCCCAAAUUCUCAACAACCCUCGAUUUUUCGCCACUGAUUCCACACUCACCCUCGAUGAUGAGCUCUCACCGGAUUCUUCAGAAAACGGCGGUGACAGACAUCGCGUAGAAGAAGGAGACACUUACGCAGAAGGAGACGCGUACGAUGCAGAGGGAGACAAGUACGAGGUUGACGUGGACAAGUUGGAGAGUGUGCUGCGUCUUCUUCAAACCAGUGCUGAUGGGUCCUUUGAGUCGUGUUUGGAUGAUAUGGAUUUGAGUCUGCAUCAGAAAUUGGUGACAAAAGUAAUCGAAAGUCCGCUUGUUUUGAGUGAGAAUCUGAUAAGGUUUUUCAGAUGGGCAUGGAGUGAGAGAUCAUUGGAGGUGACCACUCCAAUGGUGGAGUCUCUUGUUUUGGCGAUAUAUGGAAAGGAUGUGAGGAAGAAAGAGGCGUACUCGCUGUGGGAUUUGGUUAAGGAGAUUGGAGAGAAGGAGAGUGGAAUCAUCAAUGUAAGGAUUCUCAACGACUUGAUACUUUGCUUCUCGAGGUUGGUGAAAGGGAAGGCUGCAUUGGAGGUGUUCGAUAAAUUUGAGGCCUUUCAGUGUGUACCUGAUGCAGACACGUAUUACAUCACAAUCGAGGCGCUUUGUCGGCGGCGUGCUUAUGAUUGGGCUUGUGGGGUUUGCGAGAAGAUGGUUGAUGCACAGGCAGUGCCUGAUGGCGAGAAAGUUGGUGCCAUUUUGUCCUGGUUGUGUAAGGCCAAGAAGGCUAAGGAGGCCCAUGGAGUUUAUGUGGUGGCAAUGGAGAAAGGGAAACGGCCACCGAUGAGUACGGUUAGCUUUUUGGUUGGCAAGCUCUGUGGAGAAGAUGAAACUGUGAAAUUGGCUUUGGAGAUGCUGGAGGAUAUCCCUGAGGAGAAGAGGGGGCGUGCGAUAAAGCCGUUUAUGGCGGUUGUUCGGGCACUGUGUAGGAUUAAGGAAGUUGAUAAAGCCAAGGAAUUAUUGGUGAAGAUGAUUAAGGAUGGGCCGCCACCUGGGAAUGAUGUUUUCAAUUUUAUUGUCACAGCUUAUUCAAGGGCUGGGGAAAUUGGGAAAGCUUUGGAGACGAUGAAGCUGAUGGAAAGUAGGGGUUUGAGACCGGAUGUGUACACUUAUACUGCUCUUGCUAGUGCUUAUUCAAAUGGUGGGGAGAUGGAAGAGGCUCGGAAAAUCAUGGAAGAAGCGAAAAAGAAGCAUGUUAAGUUGGGUCCCAUGAUGUUUCACACCUUGAUUCGUGGAUAUUGCAAAUUGGAACGGUUUGAUGAGGCCUUGAAGUUGUUCUCAGAGAUGAAAAAUUAUGGCGUUCGCCCCAGUGUGGAUGAGUAUGAGAAGUUGAUACAGUCUCUCUGCUUGAAGGCUUUGGAUUGGGAAAUGGCGGAAAAGCUACUUGAAGAAAUGAAAGAGAAUGGUUUGCAUCUCAAGGGCAUCACGAGGGGUUUGAUUCGAGCUGUCAAGGAGAUGGAGAAGGAGGUUGUGGAGAGUGAGAGCAUUACUGCAGUAGCGUAAACAUAGUUCACUGUUUCAGGUUAAGUUUGAUCAAAUAAAGACGAAAGUCUGCUUUGUUAAAUUGGGUAUGGGGCUAUGAGCUUAGAAUUUUGCAUCCUGAAUUUUCACAUUCCAAGUCAACACGCAUGAACACGAAGUAUCCAACCUCCUUUUCUCCAUCAUCAACUGCCUUCUCGGUUGAGUUAGCCUUCCUAAUAGUUUAUUUCAGAUGUUGUUCCAUCUUGGCUUUGACAAUAUUUGCUGCAUUCGGAACGUGUUCAUCUUGGUUUGGAAGGACAAAGACUUAGGGAUUAGAUCAAUGAUACGGAAUUCCCUAAUUUUAGUUUUCAAUUUGUGCAGACAUCUUCUAUAGUCAAGUAUAUUCACAAAUUGUUACCUUGAACUCUGCUUUCUAUGUUCUCAAAGCAUUACUCAUGUGCAACUAAAAUGUUGCUAAAAAUCAAAUCUGACCAUUUAGAAACA